UACGUAGGUGGCAAGCGUUGUCCGGAUUUACUGGGCGUAAGGCGUGCGUAGACGGUUGCGUAAGUCAGAUGUGAAAGCCCCGGGCUCAACCUGGGAAUUGCAUUUGAGACUGCGUAGCUAGGGUGCGGAAGAGGGAAGCGGAAUUUCCGGUAUAGCGGUGAAAUGCGUAGAUAUCGGAAGGAACACCAGUGGCGAAAGCGGCUUCCUGGUCCAGCACCGACGUUCAGGCACGAAAGCGUGGGGAGCAAACAGG
rnacentral:rRNA from 1 species